rnacentral:rRNA from 1 species
GAUGAACGCUCGCUGCAUGCUUAACACAUGCAAGUCGAGGGGCAGCAUGGUCUUAGCUUGCUAAGGCCGAUUGCGACAGGCGCACGGGUGAGUAACACGUAUCCAACCUGCCGUCUACUCUUGGACAGCCUUCUGAAACGAAGAUUAAUUCAAGAUGGCAGCAUCAUUCCGCAUGUUCGCAUGAUUAAAGGUAUUCCGGUAGACGAGGGGGAUGCUGUCCAUUAGAUAGUAGGCGGGGUAACGGCCCACCUAGUCUUCGAUGGAUAGGGGUUCUGAGAGGAAGGUCCCCCAGAGUGGAACUGGGACAAGGGCCACACGCCUACGGGAGGGAGCAGUGAGGGAGAUAGGUCAAGGGGAGAGAGCAUGAACCAGCCAAGUAGGGUGAAGGAUGACUGCGUUAUGGGUGGUAAACUUCUUUUAGAAAGGAAUAAAGUCGGGUAUGGAUACCUGUUUGACUGUACUUGAUGAAUAAGGACCGGCUAACUCCGUG